rnacentral:lncRNA from 1 species
AUGGUCUUCUUCCCUUUUACUUCAGGAAGAGAAUUACAACUAAUCUGGAAAAAAGGGCUUAAAAGUAGCAAUCAGAUCACCAGAGUAGUGCUGAACACUCUUCUCUUGGCUUCAUCUGAAAUUUUGAAUGAAUGCCAGUUUAUGCUAGUUCUCGACCACCAUUAUAUAAAUUCUGUGUUCAUUUUUCUCCUCUUUGCCAAGAUAGAAACAUCAUUAAAUUGCAUCUUUUUUGUUUCCUUUCAAGGUUAGUAAAAUGGUUACAGUACCAUGAUAAUUUUCAUACAUGAUAAUUGGUAAUCAGUAGGAAUAAUAAAUUCUCAGGGAUAGAUGCUCUUAAUUAUACAGUAUUUUAAAAGACAAUGUUAUUGUUGUUUUCAAAUAUAUAUCAGUAAGUAGGUCAAUAAAUGUUGAGUAAUGCUAGAGGUGCUGCUGGAACUGCUUUAAUGAGACUCAUAACUAUGUACUUAAUCCUGAUACACUAACUUUGAUUCCUCUAGAAUGUUAUUAGGUAAAUUGAUAGUCCACUGUUAUAAGUACACGUAACUAUUUUAUGAACGUAAUGCUGUCCAUUUUCCAGACUAUUUUGGUUGUACUUACUGAUGACAUUUCACAUGUCUUAGGAUAUAAUUUUUUCCUUUGAUUUUAUGUCAAUUUUGCUCAGCUUUCUUGCCAAAGAUGUUAUCAUAGCCUAUUCCUGUGCUUUGGCUUAGAGCCCAGAUAACUUCUUAGCAUGGCAAGAGACAAAAAUAUGAGAGAUAUAACAGGAUAGUUCCUCUUCAGAAUUGAUGGAAUAGUCAGUGAGGUUGUUUGUUUUCUGCUAUAUUUAAUCAUGAAAAUUGGUUUCUUGGCCAUAGCACUCAAGCCUCAGAUUUGAAGUGAAUUGGUAGAACACGUUCUACUUCUUACCUAAACCUUAAUCAGGUUACUCUGUUACUAAGAUUUUCCCUAAGGCUAUUUCUAACCUGUUGUCUAUGUUUAAAUACCUGAAAAAUGAUAGCAUUUAUUAUCUUACAAAUGACUCCCUGAAUUGGUUUUUCAAGUAUGCUUACAUUGUCAGUAGAAUCUAUUCAUAAACCUUUCCUCUUUCCCUAUCUUCUGACUGUCCAAAUUAACCAAUCUGUAAAAACUUUGUCAUCUAAUAGAUUUUCUUGACUUUUAGCAGUCACUCUUUAUCUUUCAUAUAAAUGAAUAUCAUUUUCUUUUAAUACCCC